rnacentral:rRNA from 1 species
AUGGGGGAAGUUCAAGUGGAGGCGGGCGCGGAGGAAGCUGGAGGGAGCCACACACAGGAGCUGGCAGUGGGAGGUGGAGGUGAUGCAGGUGGAACCACUGGAGGCGAUGGCGCGCAGCGGAAGGGAGAAGGUCAUGGUGGCAAGUGGAGGAAGGUCGCAGUGGAAGGUCGAGGAAGGUCACCCGGUGGCAGGAUCCCGGCGUCUUGCAACGUGGGUUGGUGGAUGUCGCGCAGCCGCGGGAUCCCGACGAGCGGAGGUUGGUUGGUGGCGGUUGCGGUGGCGCCGCCAGAUGGGGUCAUGCGCGUGGCCGAAAGGUAG